AGAAAACACCUUAUGAAUGCUAAGCUAGUAUUCAUGUAAAAAUGGAGUAACCAGAUUUAGCAAAACAGUUUUAAAGUUUCCAGCAUCUAACUUUUCCUGUCUGUGAGAGUGCCAAGCAUGAAAAGAGUG
rnacentral:lncRNA from 11 species